GGGUGCGAUUCACUAAGGCAAAACAUCUUUACAACCAAGAAAUCAUCGUUGUAACAUCAGAUGUAAAGUCGGCGGUAUUCAUUAGUUAAAAUUGCGCGAUCGUAGCGCCUCAACGAUGUUGACGGCGUGACAUAGAACUAACAUUUGGUGCCAAAUGUAUGAAAAUCGGUAUUCAGCAACACGAAACAUCCUCGCCUGCAACGACAACCUCGCCUUCGCCCUCGAUUUUAUCUGUCAAACCGAAAAGCUUGUAAAUUGUGGAUGUUUUCUUGGAUGAAGGCGAUUAAAAUAUGGCAGUUCGUCUUUCCUGUAUGAUUUUUUUGUUGGAAGAAACUAAACAUCAAGAUAAUUAAAUAAAUAA